CGGAGGGUGCAAGCGUUAUCCGGAUUCACUGGGGUUUAAAGGGAGCGCAGGCGGACUGGUAAGUCAGUGGUGAAAUACCUGAGCUUAACUCGGGGAACUGCCAUUGAUACUAUCAGUCUUGAAUGUUGUUGAGGUUUGCGGAAUGGGUCAUGUAGCGGUGAAAUGCAUAGAUAUGACCCGGAACACCUAUUGCGAAGGCAGCAGGCUAAACAAAUAUUGACGCUGAGGCUCGAAAGCGUGGGGAUCAAACAGGAUUAGAUACCCUGGUAGUCCACGCCCUAAACGAUGAUUACUCGACAUACGCGAUACACUGUGUGUGUCUGAGCGAAAGCAUUAAGUAAUCCACCUGGGAAGUACGACCGCAAGGUUG
rnacentral:rRNA from 1 species